rnacentral:rRNA from 1 species
AGUGAACGCUGGCGGUAGGCCUAACACAUGCAAGUCGAACGGCAGCACAGUAAGAGCUUGCUCUUACGGGUGGCGAGUGGCGGACGGGUGAGGCAUACAUCGGAAUCUACUUUUUCGUGGGGGAUAACGUAGGGAAACUUACGCUAAUACCGCAUACGACCUACGGGUGAAAGCAGGGGAUCUUCGGACCUUGCGCGAUUGAAUGAGCCGAUGUCGGAUUAGCUAGUUGGCGGGGUAAAGGCCCACCAAGGCGACGAUCCGUAGCUGGUCUGAGAGGAUGAUCAGCCACACUGGAACUGAGACACGGUCCAGACUCCUACGGGAGGCAGCAGUGGGGAAUAUUGGACAAUGGGCGCAAGCCUGAUCCAGCCAUACCGCGUGGGUGAAGAAGGCCUUCGGGUUGUAAAGCCCUGUUGUUGGGAAGGAAAAGCAGCAGGUUAAUACCCCGCUGUUCUGACGGUACCCAAAGAAUAAGCACCGGCUAACUUCGUG